rnacentral:rRNA from 1 species
UACGAAGGGGGCUAGCGUUGUUCGGAAUUACUGGGCGUAAAGCGCACGUAGGCGGAUUGUUAAGUCGGGGGUGAAAUCCUGAGGCUCAACCUCAGAACUGCCUUCGAUACUGGCAAUCUCGAGUCCGGAAGAGGUUGGUGGAACAGCUAGUGUAGAGGUGAAAUUCGUGGAUAUUAGCUAGAACACCAGUGGCGAAGGCGGCCAACUGGUCCGGUACUGACGCUGAGGUGCGAAAGCGUGGGGAGCAAACAGG